UGCGGAAGGAUCAUUAUUGAAAUAAAAUUUGAAGGUUGUAGCUGGCCCAAUUCCAUUGGGCAUGUGCUCGCUUUCAUCUUUUUAAACCCCUGUGCACCUUUUGUAGACUAUGAAUGUAACAAGGAUUUAUUUCCUUGCGAUUUCUUGUCUAUGUUUUUAAUAUACUCCCAAAAAUGUAUUAGAAUGUUAAUCUUAUGGGCCUUUGUGUCUAUAAACAAAAAGUUAUACAACUUUCAGCAACGGAUCUCUUGGCUCUCGCAUCGAUGAAGAACGCAGCGAAAUGCGAUAAGUAAUGUGAAUUGCAGAAUUCAGUGAAUCAUCGAAUCUUUGAACGCAUCUUGCGCUCCUUGGUAUUCCGAGGAGCAUGCCUGUUUGAGUGUCAUUUAAUUCUCAAAAAAGAAAAUAAACUUUUUUGGAUUGUGAGGGCUUGUCGGCGAAAGUUGACUCCCUUGAAAUGAAUUAGCUUGGUUUGACUAUGACUUUGUCUAUUGGUGUGAUAAUUAUCUACGCCAUUGGAUUGUCUGUUAUAAACUGCUUUCUAAUUGUCCCCUAGGACUUUAAUAAAUUGACAACUUGACCUCAAAUCAGGUAGGACUACCCGCUGAACUUA
rnacentral:rRNA from 1 species